GAUGAACGCUGACAGAAUGCUUAACACAUGCAAGUCUUUGGCGAAGCUGUGCUCGCACAGCCUAGCCAAGGCGGACGGGUGAGUAACGCGUAAGGAACUUGCCCUGCAGUCAGGGAUAACAGACGGAAACGACUGAUAAGACCUGGUAAAGUCAGGCGGACUCAUGUCCAGCCUGAUGAAAAGAGAUGCUGCAGGAGAGCCUUGCGUCCUAUUAGCUUGUUGGUGGGGUAACGGCCCACCAAGGCGAUGAUAGGUAGCCGGCCUGAGAGGGUGGACGGCCACAAGGGGACUGAGAUACGGCCCUUACUCCUACUGGAGGCAGCAGUGGGGAAUAUUGGACAAUGGGGGCAACCCUGAUCCAGCAAUUCUGUGUGCACGAUGAAGGUUUUCGGAUUGUAAAGUGCUUUCAGCAGGGAAGAAAAAAAUGACGGUACCUGCAGAAGAAGCGACGGCUAAAUACGUG
rnacentral:rRNA from 1 species